rnacentral:rRNA from 1 species
UACGUAGGGUACUAGCGUUGUCCGGAAUUAUUGGGCGUAAAGAGCUCGUAGGUGGUUUGUCGCGUCUGCUGUGGAAACGUGCCGCUUAACGGUGCGCGUGCAGUGGGUACGGGCGGACUAGAGUGCAGUAGGGGGAGUCUGGAAUUCCUGGUGUAGCGGUGAAAUGCGCAGAUAUCAGGAGGAACACCAACAGCGAAGGCAGAUCUCUGGGACGUAACUGACGCUGGAGACGCGAAAGCGUGGGGAGCAAACAGG